rnacentral:rRNA from 1 species
GCCCAGCCGUAAACUUUUACUUACAUUGAAUCGCCAGGGAACUACGAGCUAAGCUUAAAACCCAAAGGACUUGACGGUACCCCAUAUCCCCCUAGAGGAGCCUGUCCUAUAAUCGAUAAUCCACGUUAAACCUCACCAUUUUUAGUUACUCAGCCUGUAUACCUCCGUCGUCAGCUUACCACGUGAGCGCCAAUUAGUGAGCUUAAUGUUUAUUCACCAACACGUCAGGUCAAGGUGCAGCAAAUGAAGUGGAAAGAGAUGGGCUACACUUUCUAAAUUAGAAGAAACGAAAAACUAUCUAUGAAACCUAGUUAGAAGGCGGAUUUAGCAGUAAAAAGGAAUCAGCACGUCCAUUUUAACCCGGCACUGGGGUGUGU